GGCGGUUAAUAAUUUUCACUUACAAUGAAAGGUACCCUUUUGGGCGCUUUUAUAGUGUUAAUUUUAGAA
rnacentral:tRNA from 1 species